GAAACGUAGCGAAAUGCGAUAAGUAAUGUGAAUUGCAGAAUUCAGUGAAUCAUCGAAUCUUUGAACGCACCUUGCACCCUUUGGCAUUCUGAAGGGUAUGCUCGUUUGAGUGUCAUUGUACUCUCACACUCCCGAUCUUUGCAUUGGGAGCAGUGGACUUGGGUUUGCUGCUUCACCGUCGCUUACCUCAAAUAGGUUAGUGCAACUCUUGGUUGGACAUAGUACGGCGUGAUAAGUGUUCUUCGCCGGUGCCUCGCAAAGAGGGUGGCCGAUCGGGAUGUUGUGCUCCAAACCGUCUUCGGACAAUCUCUGACGACUUGACCUCAAAUCGAGUAAGACUACCCGCUGAACUUAAGCAUAUCAAUAAGCGGAGGA
rnacentral:misc_RNA from 1 species